UAUGCUAUUUAAGCCUAGGCUAUUAUUUACAUUUACACCCCUGAAAUCUGAUCGGAAAAUUCAAUAGCUUGUUUUGUCGUCGGCGCAAACGCAUCGUGUCGGGUUAGGGUUAGGGCUGUGAGGGUGUGUCGCAGUCGCAGGAGUUGGAGGAAGAAGAAGGACAAUGGACGCAGAGAUUGACCACUACGUGGUGCUAGGGUUACCAUCCGGCGAAGAAGGUUCGAAGCUAACAGAGAAAGAGAUCGUAAAGGCUUACAAAUCGAAGGCUUUUGAAUUGCAUCCUGACAAGAGACCCGAUGACCCUAACGCCGCUUCCGAUUUCCAACAGCUCCAAACAUCCUACGGCAUCCUCAGGGACGAUAAAGCUCGUAAGUUGUUCGAUGACCACUUGCGUGUCAAGCGCGACCACCAGCGCCGCCUGUCCCAGCGCGACGGAAAGCGCCGCAAAAUGGUCUCUGAUCUCGAACAGAGAGAGCGCGAUGCCUCUGCUCCUGAUCCCUCUGUUAAGGAGCGCGAAAAGGAGGCGAGGAUCUCGCGGCAGUUCAAGGAAGAGAUUGCGAUGAUUCGCGCUAUGCACGCCAAGAAAGUGCAAGUGCCUGAUGCUUCUGCUACGAAGAAAGAGAGAGAGGGUGCUAGUGGUGGCGGUGGGAUUGGGAUUGGGUUGAAUAAAGAGAAUGUUCUGAAAGUUUCGUGGGAGAAGUUUGGUGAAGAUUAUUCCUCAGAUAAAUUGAGGGAAUUGUUUUCAAAGUUUGGUGAAGUGGAAGAUGUUGUCAUGAAGGUGGGUAAGAAGAGGGGUUCUGCACUCGUUGUAAUGGCCACUAGAGAAGGAGCUGUUGCUGCGACAGGAUCGGUGAUUGGUCAUCUUGCUAAUCCGUUGCUGGUUUUACCUCUUAAACCAGCAAUGCCGGCAGAUUCUUUUAAACCAGCAAUGCCGGCAGAUUCUCAUAAACCAGCAAUGCCGGCAGAUUCUUCAGGUGCUCCGAAGUCUCUGGAAGAGUUUCAAGCUUUUGAGGAUUAUGUUCUGACGAAACUGCAAAAGGCUGCGGAAAAGCAAAGAUGACGCAGUCAGAUGUUAAACAUAGGGGCAGACUAUUUGGCAUGGUCAUCCCCAAUUCUAAUUGUUAGAUUAUUUUUCUUUUUUUCACUCUUUGGUUGCAGAUUAACUUUUCCCUCAAAUUUUUCCUCUCUUCGAUUACAAACAAACCAGCCUUCCAACCCCGACCAACUAGCCGCCCUGCACUGAGAAGGAAAAUGAUGUUGUUUCUUUCUCUUCUUAUUUUUUUAUUUUUUUGGGUCUUUGGUUCCAAUCGACUUUCCCCUCCAAUUUUCCCCCUCCUCCAUUGCAAACCAAGUCUUCCCUCCAACCACCGACCAACCAACCCCACUGUGUCGGAGAUUUUUCUUCUCAACUGCACGCCACGCUAGCAACCUUGCCACUGAUCGUCAGUAGCUGCGAAGGCACACAAGAUGAUGUUCGUUUCCUUGUUUUCUUAACAGGGGUUAUUGUUCAAACUUUUUCAAAUCUCCGUGAUGGAUCACUCUGAGAUAACAACUAUUGAAGACAUUGAUAUGAGUACAUUGAUAUGAGUGGAAGUUUAGAAUGUUUUGAUAAUGUUGUUGAUUUAGAGAAAGAUAAUGAUGAAUUUGGAGAAGAUUAUCAGUGUGAAUUCAUAAACGGUGAAGAUGGUGACCAUGGGAAAGAUAAUGUACAAGAUGCAGAUUGUUUGAAGUUCAUUUUCAAUGUGUCAAAAAUAUAGCUCAAGUUCUUCAGUCUAAUUUGUUGAUGUAAAGUAAUAAUUAUGUCAUAUGAAUGUCAUCAACAGCGCAUGUCCAGUUCAAUAUUUCUUUUUAAAAGAUAUUAGAGAAACUGACAUUGCUUAGUAAUUGCAUCCUUUCCAAUGGCCUAAAGUAUCAGCAUUCGGUCUGCACGAAUAUAUUAGCUAAUAUUUGGUAGAUAUUUGUGAAAGAAAAUUUUACUUUACCGAUGUAUGAGAGUCUGUAGCAAUUUCUCUGGAUACUUAACAAAUUGAUUUUAAUGUUUUAUAUCGUUAUAGGGUACUUUAUAUUCGGUGGUUGGAAGGCUCUUUUUGGCAUGUUCUAUUUGUUCAAUUUCAUACUUAGGCUCAACUGUAAUGAAAAUAUUUGUGCAAGAAGUACUUGGUAGUCUUGAAACCUCGACCACUGAAUCUCCGUA